AUUGACCACCUUGUAGUUGUGAAAUACCUGUCUUGUCAGAGUUCAGAAGCUAAGCAGAGUCAAGCCUGGUUUGUACGUGGAUGGGGGACCAUCAAAGGAUCCCAGAGGUUCUCCAGA
rnacentral:rRNA from 1 species